rnacentral:rRNA from 1 species
UAGGAGGGCGCAGCUACCAUGCAAGUCGAGCGGUAACAGGGGUAGCUUGCUACCCGCUGACGAGCGGCGGACGGGUGAGUAAUGCAUAGGAAUCUGCCCGAUAGUGGGGGAUAACCUGGGGAAACCCAGGCUAAUACCGCAUACGUCCUACGGGAGAAAGGGGGCUUCGGCUCCCGCUAUUGGAUGAGCCUAUGUCGGAUUAGCUAGUUGGUGAGGUAAUGGCUUACCAAGGCAACGAUCCGUAGCUGGUCUGAGAGGAUGAUCAGCCACAUCGGGACUGAGACACGGCCCGAACUCCUACGGGAGGCAGCAGUGGGGAAUAUUGGACAAUGGGGGCAACCCUGAUCCAGCCAUGCCGCGUGUGUGAAGAAGGCCCUCGGGUUGUAAAGCACUUUCAGCGAGGAAGAACGCCUAUCGGUUAAUACCCGGUAGGAAAGACAUCACUCGCAGAAGAAGCACCGGCUAACUCCGUGCCAGCAGCCGCGGUAAUACGGAGGGUGCAAGCGUUAAUCGGAAUUACUGGGCGUAAAGCGCGCGUAGGUGGCUUGAUAAGCCGGUUGUGAAAGCCCCGGGCUCAACCUGGGAACGGCAUCCGGAACUGUCAGGCUAGAGUGCAGGAGAGGAAGGUAGAAUUCCCGGUGUAGCGGUGAAAUGCGUAGAGAUCGGGAGGAAUACCAGUGGCGAAGGCGGCCUUCUGGACUGACACUGACACUGAGGUGCGAAAGCGUGGGUAGCAAACAGGAUUAGUCCUU